AUUCAAGAAAAGAAUUUUAGUUCUGCCUUAAAUCUGUUUAUUCUAUCAAAAACCUUACAAAGAUUUAAGAGUUAUUCCAGUAAGGCACAGCUUACUUGAAACAGGAUACAACCUACACUACCGGGUAAAUUUAUUUUAAUAUAAUCAAGUGGGCCUAAUAGCAGCCACCUUUUAAAAAGCGUUAAAGCUUAAUUAUUUUAUUUUUCUAAUACCAUUAUUUUUUAUAAACCCUUUAUUACUAUUGAAUGAUUCCAUAUUCUUAUGGAAGACCUUAUGCUAGAACUAGUAACAAGAAUAUUUUUCUCCAAAAUGUAAGUGUAAGUCAACACAAAUGACAAUUAACGAAAGUGAUUUUAAUGUAAUAACUUAACAAGAAAAUUUUACAACAACUACCGUUAACCUAACACUAGAACAUUACUGGAAAGAUUAACAGAGAAAGAAGGAACUCGGCAAAUCUUAACCCCGCCUGUUUACCAAAAACAUCGCCUCUUGAAAAAUUAUAAGAGGUCCAGCCUGCCCAGUGACAAAGUUCAACGGCCGCGGUACCCUAACCGUGCGAAGGUAGCAUAAUCACUUGUUCUUUAAAUAGGGACUAGUAUCAACGGCACCACGAGGGUUAUACUGUCUCCUUUCUCCAAUCAGUGAAACUGAUCUCCCCGUGAAGAAGCGGGGAUAUCUAUAUAAGACGAGAAGACCCCAUGGAGCUUCAAACCUUCAGCAACUUUUAAUAUAUAAACCUUCACAUCUUAAAAGCUGUGCAAAGCGGUUUUGGGUUGGGGUGACCACGGAGUAAAAACAAACCUCCAUGACGUACAGAACUAGACCUUUAUCUAUGAACUACUAUUCUAAGAAUCAGUAAACUGACGUAAAAUGACCCGAUUAUCGAUCAACGAACCAAGUUACCCUGGGGAUAACAGCGCAAUCCACUUUAAGAGCUCAUAUCGACAAGUGGGUUUACGACCUCGAUGUUGGAUCAGGGUAUCCCGGUGGUGCAGCCGCUACUAAA
rnacentral:rRNA from 1 species